rnacentral:rRNA from 1 species
GAUGAACGCUGGCGGCGUGCCUAAUACAUGCAAGUCGAGCGAACAGACGAGGAGCUUGCUCCUCUGACGUUAGCGGCGGAUGGGUGAGUAACACGUGGAUAACCUACCUAUAAGACUGGGAUAACUUCGGGAAACCGGAGCUAAUACCGGAUAAUAUAUUGAACCGCAUGGUUCAAUAGUGAAAGACGGUUUUGCUGUCACUUAUAGCUGGAUCCGCGCCGCAUUAGCUAGUUGGUAAGGUAACGGCUUACCAAGGCAACGAUGCGUAGCCGACCUGAGAGGGUGAUCGGCCACACUGGAACUGAGACACGGUCCAGACUCCUACGGGAGGCAGCAGUAGGGAAUCUUCCGCAAUGGGCGAAAGCCUGACGGAGCAGCGCCGCGUGAGUGAUGAAGGGCUUCGGAGCGGAAGACUCUGUUAGUAGGGAAGAACAAAUGUGUAAGUAACUAUGCACGUCUUGACGGUACCUAGUCAGAAAGCCACGGCUAACUACGUG